AUGAACUCCUCGGUUAGCCAACUUUGUUUAGAUUGGCUUCAGAACCUGUAAUCUUUUCUCCUUUCUUUUGAUAGGCUUAACUUGGUUUGCCCUGUAACGACUAUUUUUUCUUUUUUUAAUAAAUUCCAGUAGGGGCUUGCCCUUCCUGUUCAUUCAAAAAAACUCCACAACUUUGGACUGUGAGCUUCAAAGAGCAAUUGUUCUUCAGCUUCACCAGGUUAAGGACAAUCUUAGACCAAUUAUUUUACAAUGGCUAGAGUCUGUAAUGUAAUCUCUC
rnacentral:lncRNA from 1 species